rnacentral:tRNA from 1 species
GCCCCGCUAACUCAGCGGAUGGAGCAGCACUUUCCUAAAUCGUGUGUCGCUGGUUCGAUUCCAGCGCGAGGCAC